GGUUUGCCAUGUAUAUAAUGAGAGGCUAAUUAACAUGAAAAGAACCUACAUAUCAUUUAAGAUGCAGCAACAGAAUAUUGUUUGGUCCACUUGUUUUAUUGUUUCUCAGAACAAGAAAAAUAAAAAAUAGAAUCAAUACAGAACCCACAUAGUUAACUAGCAAUUGAACAUUUUGUCCAGUACACCAUCUAUUCGUGACUCCAGAACUUGGAGCUACAGCUACACUUGUCCAUUUCCUCAACGUGGACGCAUCUAUUGUAUUUAAAGAGGCGUCUAUUGCCGCAUUUUUCAUCUUGCAUUGCUCCAAAAGAUUGAUAGUAACAUACCUGUGUAUAUAUAUUCCAGUAGACAAACUAAUUCGUUUCGUUAUGGUGAAGAUUGAAAGAGUUAAAAGGGUUACCAUAUGGAAGCCGAUGAAGAUUAAAAGGACCAGUGAGAACGAAAUUGCCCAGAUGAAAAAAUCUACAUUGUAGUAGUAUCAUGAUAUUUGUCACCAACAACAUGUUCUAUCAAUUCUCAGAAAAAAAGAUCAUAAAGACAAAUGCAAAAAUAAAUGUAUUGGACCGACCCCAACUGUCUACGAAUGAUCUUGGUUCCAGUAGCAACAUGUACAUUGUGGUUCCAGGAAAAGGCAGCUACAUCUUUGUCCAUUUCAACAGCUUCAGAACAAUCUACACUCAUUUGAGGCCAAAAGAAAAUUUCAAGAGCCAGCACAAAGUUAUCGAUGUAUUAAAUACAAAACGCACAGAACAGUUGAUUUCAUGAUGUGAAACCCAAAAAAAAGAACCCAAAAAAAAAAAAAAAAAACCUUGAGAUACAUCAUGUUAGAGACUACCACAAAUUCUUCCGGGCACUGCUUCGACCUAAUUAACCAAGAUAGAGAACAAAUUAACGGAAAAAGGCCGUACGAAAUUGAAACAGGGACUAGUAAAUAGAAUAAUACAGGGUUAGAAAAACCAGUAACAAAACACUUUCCAGUGAUACAGUGCUCUUCUGUC
rnacentral:lncRNA from 1 species